GGGGAACCUCACUCCAACAAAAAACCCCAAUCAAAACACCACACACACCUGACACCAGCAGCAGCCAGGGGUGUGGCUGUGGCCUCCCUGGUGUGGAAGCUGCCCCCUUCGUGGUUUACCUGCUCAUGUUGCUGCACUCAUGGAGCUCAUUAAAUCUCCUGCCAGUGGUCCUGGUACUGCCCCUUGUUCACCUGAUAAAAGGUAAAUAAAUUUUUAAAGGAUAAAAUUUUCUGCCUGGGAAGAGAUUCUGUUGCAAAAAAGCAACUACAUAGCGAUACUUCAUGAAUUGUUGUGAAGACCAGACCCGUAGUAUGAAAUGAUGCUCGGAGCCACUAGAGGAUAUUUUGCUGACUGGUUUGUACCUGAAGUUCACUCAUAGAAGAUUUCUCUCUUGGAAUUCAAGAUAACUCAGGCCAAAUCCAUAAAAAACCCCAAGAAGCUGCAGUCCAGAAGUAUCUCCAAGAUCACAGCAACUGGAAAACACAAACUUCCACUCUGAACACCUUGAGGAAGGCUGGAGACAGUGUGGCCCCAGCCCCAGGCUACAGCACACUUUUACUCAGCAUAGCCCAAUCACAGGCAAAUACAUCUGUAUCAAAAUCCAGGACUGUUUUAAUUUGCAUGUGUUUGUCAAUAACCACGAGUGACAAAGAAAACACAAGUGGAAUUGCUGAUGUCACACCCCCUUCACAGAAAGCAUAAGUGAUAGAAAAGUAAGAGGAUUUUGUUCCAGCUGCAUCUCCUGAAAGUCCCAUCGUUACGGAUGUUCUUCUGAGCCAGAGAUACUGCUGUGUAAUUUGUUCUGUAUCUGUAGCUGAAAUAGGUUUAUUUAAAUUUUUCAUUUAUCCAUAUUUGUCUGUUUUAAAGCCUGUGCUAAACCCUUCAUGCUUACAGAACUUCUCUGCCA
rnacentral:lncRNA from 1 species